CUUAAAACCAACGAUUCAGUAAGCGUCGCGACAUCAGUCCGAACAUGCGGCUUGUUGCGAUACCAUAAGAGCCACUAACCACGUGGUCUUGUAUAUCACAUUUAUGUUUUAAAUAAUUUUUGCACUUAAAUAAAAAAAGAUAAAAUAUUAAUCAAUUAAAAAAUCUAGUGGCGGAAUAUAAAUAUAUAUUAAUCGAACAAUAUAACUCUCAAAUAUCCAACUAUUAAAUUUAAUAAAUUAUGAAAAGAGGUAGAUUAAUAUGAUGCGUUAAAAUAUAAUUAACGAUAAAUAGUAUAAUGAACAAUAAUGAAAUAAUAAAUGAAAAAGGCAAUUAGUAAAGCUUAUUUGUACUGUGAAGUUUGACACCCACCGGCAUUUUGUGAAUUUUCGUGCUCCAGAGAAGCUUAAUGAAUUAUUUAUAAACCGUCCCUCGGUGAUUGCGGUUGAUCUUUGCUCAAUAAAUAUUGGGUUGCUGAAUAAAUCAAAAUGUCAAAGAUUCCCGGUGAAAAGGAUCGAUAGCCAGUGAGUUAUCAUCUCGAGGAUGAUAAAUUUGAUUGUCCGACUGAAAAAUCGUAAAAAAGCAGCUGGCUGGAGGCGAGUCCAUAUAAAGAAGGAGAAUAAAUUCACAGAAGACGAUGUCGUGUGAAAAAGCGUCACGGCGCCUGAGGUACAUUAUCGCCAAGGCUAAACGGUUCGGUUUAGCUGAGUAUGAACUGACUGAUUUAUCUGGCGCUAAAAAAAUCACGACAUCCAAAUCCGGUCCGUUUAACACUUGGUAUCUUAUCGCCCUCGUAAUUGCUAUUAUCAUUUGCGGAACACUGGUUCUUGCGCUUGUUUGUAAUCCUUGUUCUUCAAGGAGUCAGAUUCAUGUUCAUUGAAAUUUUUGACUUAUUAAUGAACGGAGAGCGUGAGUCAAUGGCAGUGGAUGAAGAAAAUAACUAUAAAAAGCCAACUAUAAAUUUUUUUAUUUCAAUUUUAUUAUUGUAUUAAAUUAUAUAAAAUAUAAGGAAUGUAAACUUUUUGACUCUGAAAU